GGACGGAAAGACCCCGUGGAGCUUUACUGCAACCUGAUAUGGAAUGUUUGUACCGCUUGUAAAGGAUAGGUAGGAGCCGAAUAGACGUGUGCGCUAGCCUACGAGGAGGCAAUGGUGGGAUACUACCCUGGCUGUAUGACCAUUCUAACCCGCCACGCUUAGCGCGUGGGGCGACAGCGUCAGGUGGGCAGCUUGACUGGGGCGGUCGCCUCCUCAAGAGGAAAGGCGGGGCCCAAAGGGUCCCCCCGGAUGGAGGGCAAUCCUACCCAGAGCGUAAAAGCACACAGGGGCUCGACUGGGCGCAUGGCCAGACGAGCAGGGGCGAAAGACG
rnacentral:rRNA from 1 species